UACGUAGGGUGCGAGCGUUGUCCGGAAUUACUGGGCGUAAAGAGCUUGUAGGUGGUUUGUCGCGUUGUUCGUGAAAUCUCACGGCUUAACUGUGAGCGUGCGGGCGAUACGGGCAGACUAGAGUACUGCAGGGGAGACUGGAAUUCCUGGUGUAGCGGUGAAAUGCGCAGAUAUCAGGAAGAACACCAAUGGCGAAGGCAGCUCUCUGGGCCACUACUGACGCUGAGAAGCGAAAGCGUGGGGAGCGAACAGG
rnacentral:rRNA from 1 species